rnacentral:rRNA from 1 species
AGGAUUAGAUACCCUAGUAUAAAAAAUUUAAUAUAAUUAUUAAUUAAGAAAUUUAAAAUUUUUGGCGGUUAAUUAUUAUGUUAGAGGAGCUUGUUUAUAGAAAUUACUCUUUAUAUUUAAUUAAUCUUUGUUUAUUUAUCUCCGUUACUAGGUGAGAAGCUUUAUAAGUUUACAUUUAUAUUUCAGGUCAAGAUGUAGCAAUUAUUAAUAAGAAUUAGCUACAUUAUUGAGAAUAUGGAUUAAUUAUAGAAUUUAUAUUAUGAAAUUGAAUUUAGUUGUAAUUUAAUUUAGGAAAAUUAAAUGAAAUUAAAUAAUUUAUGUACAUAUUGCCCGUCACUUCUCUUGGUAAGAGAGAAUAAGUCGUAACAAAGUA